ACUCCUGACUGACCGAUAGUGAACCAGUACCGUGAGGGAAAGGCGAAAAGAACCCCGGCGAGGGGAGUGAAAAAGAACCUGAAACCGUGUACGUACAAGCAGUAGGAGCCCACUAGUUGGGUGACUGCGUACCUUUUGUAUAAUGGGUCAGCGACUUAUAUUCUGUAGCAAGGUUAACCGAAUAGGGGAGCCGCAGGGAAACCGAGUCUUAACUGGGCGUUAAGUUGCAGGGUAUAGACCCGAAACCCGGUGAUCUAGCCAUGGGCAGGUUGAAGGUUGGGUAACACUAACU
rnacentral:rRNA from 1 species